UAUUUCUCCUCUGUAAUCUGCAAAUAAAAUACCAAAUAAAUUCAAAUAAGAAAAAAAAGAGGAUUUCGAAAUUUCUCUCCUUUCCCACUACUAAAAACCGUCCCUCCAUCUCUCCCACAAAUCUCUCCCGUAUCUCAACUUCCUUUCCCCUAUAUUAAAUCUUCAACCAUUACUUUUUCCUCACCUAUCGUCUCUGCAAGCAAGAAUCAUCCUUCAACUUCUACUCAAGUAACCAAAAUCCUCCAGCUUCAAGAACCAUUUUUUUUUCUUCCUCAACAUCCGUCUGCAAUUGACGGUGAGACUUCGCAAGGGAAUCGAGAUACCAAAGGGAAGGAAGUGUAGAGAAUUAUUCAAUUGAGGUUGAGCGGCGACGAGAGUACGGUGGUGUUGAGCAAGUAAAUUGGUAAAUGAACUGUUGUUUUUGAAUUAUGGGUGUCGUUGUGUCUUCACACAUGACGUCACUCUUACUCUUGAUCGUUUCCGCUGUGACAUUUCUUUCACUUAUCGUUUAUUGGGCUUGCAACCUGAAUUAUUUGGAUAUUGAAUAUUUUGGGAUUUUACUAAUUUAUGUCAAAUUCUUGGUCGUUUUAUUUGAAUAUUAAUUGUUGGUCAAGCUCGUUAUUAAAACCCUAGUCCUUUUCGUCUUUUUAUUAAAUUCUCUUAAUCACGAUCGCCCAUAUUUAUUAACCCUAAA